rnacentral:rRNA from 1 species
UACGUAGGCAGCAAGCGUUGUUCGGAGUUACUGGGCGUAAAGGGUGUGUAGGCGGUUGGAUAAGUGUGGUGUGAAAUCUCCCGGCUUAACUGGGAGGGUGCGCUACAAACUGUCUGACUAGAGUGUGGGAUGGGUAAGUGGAAUUCCUGGUGUAGCGGUGAAAUGCGUAGAUAUCAGGAGGAACACCGGUGGUGUAGACGGCUUACUGGACCAUAACUGACGGCUGAGACACG